GCAGAUAGCUCACUCCUUAGAGCAUGAGAUUCUUCAUCUCAUGGUUGUAGGUUCAAGCCCCAUGUUAGGCA